AGGGCGACACUUCUCCGAAGGGCAAAGCACCAAACGUUUUAAACCGAGACAUACUCUGUAGAACAACACACGGGCAAAUUCCGCACAGAAUAACAGAUUACUCCACACAGCAUAAACAUCUCUUCACGUUCAUGAGUAGCCAACUUUAGAGCAAGCCUCCUGACGCGCAUCAUAGGAUGUUAAUAUAUAAAAAAGCAGGCAUCAGAGGUGCAUGGAUACGGUGGUUCGUAUGCACCCUUCUCUCACUUCUUCAUGGAGUAAUAUCCGAAACCAGUAGAGCACUGGAUAUAAUGACAAAAUAUCCACUGAUUGAUGGACACAAUGACCUGGCAUUACGUCUGAGAAUGCAUCAUAAUAACAAACUGAGCACUUUCAAUAUGCACCACAAUCCUAGGGUGGCUACAGAUAUUAGUCGCCUCACUGCUGGCCAUGUUGGAGGACAGGUAAUUUCUCCUGGCUGAUCUUGAGUAUAAUCUGAAUCUUUAACCAUUUGUAAAAAUGAAGUCACAAACCUAUUUGUGUAUACUGUAUAUCGUGUAGAUAAAGUGCUGGGCCUGAAGAACAAGCUUGUUCUGCCCCAAAUUCGCACACAGCUA